AUGAACUAACGAGAAAGCUUUGAAAAAACCAGAAGAAAAGCUUGUUCGUUUCUUCUUCUUCUUCUCUUCUGUUCGAUUAUGGAGGAAGAAAGCACUUCAGUGGAAUCCAACACUGCAAACGAGCGCAUAAAGCUCAACGUGGGUGGAAAGUACUUCGAGACAACGCUAUCCACGCUCCGCUCCGGCGGCCCCGACUCUCUCCUCUUCGCCCUCUCGAACCGGCGCUCGGCCGACCCGAACCCGGUUUUCAUCGACCGUGACCCGGAGAUCUUCUCUGUCCUCCUUUCUCUUCUCCGCACCUCUCACCUUCCCUCCACUGCGCGCCGCUUCUCUAAACAAGAGCUCGCCGACGAGGCCCUCUUCUACGGCAUCGACGCGCACCUACGUGCCGCCACCGCGCCACCUCCGUUCUCCGGUAUCGACGCCGCUCUCGCUUCCUCAAUCCGCCCAGCCUCAGAGGGCCUCCCCUCCUCCUUCGCCGCAGCUGAUUCCGGCGCUGUCUGGAUUGCCCAUGGUGGCCAGAUCUCUGGCUACGACUCAACCCUCACUCACUCCGGCACUGUCCGCACCCACCUCGAUGAAAUCGACUCCAUCUGCCGUGUCUGGCCCGAGAUUGCCGCUAUCGGGUCCAUGUCCGACCCCGGCCUCCACUUCUACAACUUCUCCGGCAGCCGCCACGUCGGAUCGGUCCACUGGACAGAUCCUCUCGAUCCACGAAUCUUCAAGGCGCAUGUCAACGCGAUAACCGCUUCAGAGAACUCCGUUUUCGCUUCAUUCGAUUGCCCUCACAGAGAGAAUUGCAUCCUCGAAGUGGAUAAGUCGAACCUGCGGACUGUGAAUCAGUUUGCUCGACAGUCUGGGAACCAGGCGAAGAAUAUGGUUCCCGCGAAGCUGACGUGGAUUCCCGCGACCGGAGUUCUCGUCGGUAGCGCGGUGACCGGUGGUGCUUUUGGUUUCUCCGGCUAUGUCCGAAUUUGGGACCCGAGGUCAGGGGAGGUGGUUUGGGAGACGAACGAGCCUGGUGGUUCGGGACGCAGCAGCCGAUUCGGGGAUUCGUUUGCUGACGUGGAGGCUGACGUUGAGGGAUUGUUGCUGUUCAAGUUGUGUUCUAAGUCGGGGGAUUUGGCUAUGGCGGAUAUGCGGUUUUUAAAGGAUGAUCCUUGGAUUUAUCUGAAAGAGAAGAACGCUAGUUUGGUGAGUUGUGGUGAAGUGAGGAAUAGUGUGGUGCAUUGUUACAAGGGGCAAGUGUUUGUGUCCAGAGAAGGUGGGUUGGAGGUUUGGUCAAGGGUGGAACAAAGGGAAAAUGUUGUUGUAAGAAGUGAGAAUGAGAGUGAUGCUGAAGGGUUUUAUAGGAGGAAUUUUGUGGAUAAAAGAGAGGAUUCGGAUAGAGGGAUUAUUAAGAAGAUUGAAGGUGGUGGAGAUAGGUUGUUUGUUAGUAGAGAAGAUGUUGAGGGGAUUGAAGUUUGGGAGAGCUCUCGUUUCUCUGGAGCCAUUUCUGUUUUGUGAUCAGGGAUAGACAGUUUCUUACUUAGGUACUUGCUGGAGCAACAAGGUUAUCUUUAAGGCAGUGAAUCCUUCCAACACAUGUAAGCUGCUUCCUGAGUUGCAUGUGAAAUCAAUUUGUUUUCUCGUAAUAUCUGAAUGAGCUAACUAUUUCUGGAUAUUUGUUUUUGAAGUUUAGGUGGAUUUUGGCUGACAUGGAAAUCUAACCUAGUAUGCUUCACUCUAAAAGUGUGAGAAAAGAUGGCAGGAUCUCAUGAGCUUCGUACCCAUGACAGUUUGGAGUGAAAGUGAAAUCUUAUAAUCUUCCAAUUUGAAAAGCAUCGAAUACAUCGAGCUCCGAUCUUUAGUUACUUUUCAAACAAAAAUCAGUAAUUAACAGGAUUUAGUUUCAUCUUUGUAAAAUACUACAGAAAUGUAGUUUCACUGCAAAAGUUAUAUACUUCUACCAGAAAAACUGUAGAAGAUACACAAAGGCUGAAAUACACUGUUUUAUGAUCAUACCUGCAAUUUGAUGAAUAAUAGAAAACCCCCACGCUAAUUUCCUUCCA